rnacentral:lncRNA from 12 species
AGGUGCCUUUCCAGAUUUGCGCUGGAAAGGUCUGACUCUUUAGGAGGAUGAAAGAGAAAGCAUUCUUUGCGCGAAUGUAGUCCUGCUUCUCUGGCAAAAUGAGGCUUUCAUUCUAUUUUUCCAGAUAUGCCAGAGAUGUUCCUGAACAAGUUGGCUGACGGUGCAAGCUUCAAAAGGGAUACUUAAAUGGCCAGCCCCAUUCAUCCCAUAAGCCAGGAAAGGAAUAUAAAUCUGUUGAAGAAUCUGAAGAGUCACAUCUUCUGAGCCUAGACAUACUGCUGUCAGCAUCUCUGAGACUUCCUCCUU